rnacentral:lncRNA from 1 species
UUAUUUAAUUUUAUUUUUUAUAAAAUAUUUUAAAUCAUAAAAUCUGAUAAAACUAGCAAUAAAUUUAAUAAAAUUCUCAAUUCUCAUAUGUCUAAAGUCAUUAAAUUUUAAAAAUUCAAAAGGUAAAGAAUCUCCGCAAAAAAGAAAUAGGAAAAAACUACUUAUACAUCCCAAUCGGGAUGUAUAAGUUAUACCCCACCAAUCCAACGAUGGAAUUUUUAUACUAGUCACUUGAUGUGACAAGUGAUUGACUCUCACUCAUUAAAUGAGUGGAGUGUAAAAUAUACACUCCAGUUAGGGUGUGUGAGUAGUAUUACUUAAAAAAAUGUAGCUUAGGAUUGUUUUGAGAUUGCACUAUAAUCUAAACUAGUAUAAAGACCCGCGCGAUGCAGCGGGUAGAUAAUAGAAACAAAAUUUUAAAAUUUUAAUAAAAUUUAUAUUUACAGCUUAUUAAUAUAUAUGAAGCUAUACCAUGUUAAGCACAGUCAAUUUGUAUGACUAAAUUCAACUGCUAAAAAAAUAAAUUUAUAGUUAGAAGUUUAUAUAAUUUUUUUUAAAAUCAUCGAAAUACAGUAAGAGACAUACAAUUUUACCGUAUUAUGUGCCUAUUGAACAUUCCGUUGUGAAAGAUAAAAAAGAGCUAACUCCAACGCAGCUGAAUCAACCCAUCUGGCACUUAUAUGGGCCGCGACUCGGCUUUGCGGGACGAUGCUUCUCGAAGGAGAUAACGUUUUUUGUAUGUUCUUCUUCUUCUUCUUCGUCCUUGUCAUCUUCAUUAACACAAUGAGAGAGAGAGCUAGAUGAGUGUAGGGUGGGAUAUUAGAUGAUGAUAUUCUUUUUUGCAUGAAAAAUAUCAGGCUAUGCAAAAAAGGGGGGCGGGGCAUUAAUGGAGGUGGGAAGUGAAUUAAAGUUACAAAACCCACUCAUUGGUGGAAUAUGAUGUAUAUAAUUAAAUGUUGAAUUUUGGAUUAAUUAAUCCUCAUGAUUUCAAAAGACUGGGAGGUGAAGGAUUUGGCGUUGAAAAGAUGUUUGAGGGAGAAGAAAUGACCAAUAUUGAAAAGGAAAAUAAGUAACGUAUAAAUUAAAGACAACAUUGAUUAGAGGUCAUUAAAUAUAGAGGAGGGGAGGGGAAAAACCAAGGUCAUUGAAUAGGAGGUGAGGUUAAAAGAAAACUUGCCAUGUGGCAAAAAAUAUUGGGAAUUCAUAUAGGUUAAUAAAUGUCAUGGAUACUGACACAUGCUACGGAAUACGGAACACAACAUGACUCGAACAUGGUGACUCAGUAGUAUUUAAAAAAUUAGGACACAGAUACGGCAUAGACAUCGCUAAUAAAAUAUAAUAUUAUUAAUAUAAUGACAUAUAUAUUUAUUAUAUAAAAUAUUAAUUUUGGUAAAUUAUUAUUGUAUUUCUCAUACGAAUGAAAGUUGAUAAAAUUUUUAUUGAAAGUUCAUAUAUUUUAAGAAAAAAAUUCUCUACUAUACACAAUUUAUUUAUAUUGUCCUAAAAAAAUUUAAAUGCAUUCAUCAAAAAGCUAAAAUACUUAUCAUCUUACAUUAUAUAUGCACAAAAAAGUAAAAUAAAAACAUGUAUAUAUUUUUUAAUUGUAUGUGCUAUGGAUCGGCAUUGAAGCGCGAGUAUAAAGAGUGUCCACAUUGAACGUGAGUAUGCCACGGAUACACAAGGCUUAUAGAAGUGUUCGUGAUACAUAGGCUAUAAUAGAGAGAGGUCUUUAUUAAUACUAGCCAUUAACGAUACCAACAAGUCGGAUUUGGGACGGGUUUUCAAAAACUCGAACCUGAAUCCAACUACCAAAUUUGAAAUUAAUUCGAAUUUGAACUCGAAUCCGAUGAAUUUGAAAAUCUAUAUCCAAAUCCAAACCUGACAAAAAAUCUAAAACCCAAACUCAAAUCCGAAACAAUUACUUUUCUUUACUAUAUUUCAAAACAUAUUACAUUAAAUCUAAAAUUUUAAAAUAUAAAUGCGUAUAUAAUAUCAAACAUUUUUAUAUAUUAUAUAAUAUAGAAUCAAUUCGGGUUCAAGUUUGGGUCUGAUUUGCUAUAGCAAUUUCUAUAUAAUUUUUAUUUUAUUAUAAUUUGCAUACAAUUUUAUAAUUUCUACUAAAAAUCCAAAUAAAAAUUUUAAAGCUAUUCAAGCAAUAAAUA